rnacentral:rRNA from 1 species
CAGUAGCCGCGGUAAAACGAGGGGGGCAAGCGUUGUUCGGAAUUAUUGGGCGUAAAGGGUGCGUAGGCGGCUUGACAAGUCUUGUGUGAAAUCUAUGGGCUCAACCCAUAGUCUGCACGGGAAACUGUCGGGCUUGAGUAUUGGAGAGGUGAGUGGAAUUUCCGGUGUAGCGGUGAAAUGCGUAGAUAUCGGAAGGAACACCUGUGGCGAAAGCGGCUCACUGGACAAUAACUGACGCUGAUGCACGAAAGCUAGGGGAGCAAACAGGAUUAGAUACCCCGGUAGUCCCUGUCUCUUAUAC